rnacentral:rRNA from 1 species
UCUUCGGUAGCAUUUUACGUAGGUGCUGCAUGGUUGUCGUCAGCUCGUGCCGUGAGGUGUCGGGUUAAGUCCCAUAACGAGCGCAACCCCUACCUUAGUUGCCAUCAGGUUAAGCUGGGGACUCUAAAGAACUGCCUACGCAGUAGUGAGGAAGGCGGGGAUGACGUCAAAUCAGCACGGCCCUUACGUCCAGGGCUACACACGUGCUACAAUGGCCGAUACAGAGGGCAGCUACCUGGUGACAGGAUGCAAAUCUCCAAAGUCGGUCUCAGUUCGGAUCGGAGUCUGCAACCCGACUCCGUGAAGUUGGAUUCGCUAGUAAUCGCGCAUCAGCCAUGGCGCGGUGAAUACGUUCCCGGGCCUU